UUUGUACUCCCUCCGUCCGGAAAUACUUCUUGGAGAAAUGGAUGUAUCUAGACAUAUUUUAGUUCUAGAUACAUUCAUUUUUAUCUAUUUCCCCGACAAGUAUUUCUGGACGGAGGGAGUACAAA
rfam:Triticum aestivum genome assembly, contig: Triticum_aestivum_CS42_TGACv1_scaffold_405517_5BL